AGUGGCGGACGGGUGAGUAACGCGUGGGUAACCUGCCCUGUACAGGGGGACAACAGUUAGAAAUGACUGCUAAUACCGCAUAAGCGCACAGGACCGCAUGGUCCGGUGUGAAAAACUCCGGUGGUACAGGAUGGACCUGCGUCUGAUUAGGUAGUUGGCGGGGUAACGGCCCACCAAGCCGACGAUCAGUAGCCGACCUGAGAGGGUGACCGGCCACAUUGGGACUGAGACACGGCCCAAACUCCUACGGGAGGCAGCAG
rnacentral:rRNA from 1 species